rnacentral:rRNA from 1 species
GCGACCCCAGUCAGGCGGACAAAAGAGAUUCG